UGGUCGGGAUAGCUCAGCUGGUAGAGCAGAGGAC
rnacentral:tRNA from 3 species